rnacentral:rRNA from 1 species
UUUAUGGAGAGUUUGAUCCUGGCUCAGGAUGAACGCUGGCGGCGUGCCUAAUACAUGCAAGUCGAGCGAACGGACGAGAAGCUUGCUUCUCUGAUGUUAGCGGCGAACGGGUGAGUAACACGUGGAUAACCUACCUAUAAGACUGGGAUAACUUCGGGAAACCGGAGCUAAUACCGGAUAAUAUUUUGAACCGCAUGGUUCAAAAGUGAAAGACGGUCUUGCUGUCACUUAUAGAUGGAUCCGCGCUGCAUUAGCUAGUUGGUAAGGUAAUGGCUUACCAAGGCAACGAUGCAUAGCCGACCUGAGAGGGUGAUCGGCCACACUGGAACUGAGACACGGUCCAGACUCCUACGGGAGGCAGCAGUAGGGAAUCUUCCGCAAUGGGCGAAAGCCUGACGGAGCAACGCCGCGUGAGUGAUGAAGGUCUUCGGAUCGUAAAACUCUGUUAUUAGGGAAGAACAUAUGUGUAAGUAACUGUGCACAUCUUGACGGUACCUAAUCAGAAAGCCACGGCUAACUACGUGCCAGCAGCCGCGGUAAUACGUAGGUGGCAAGCGUUAUCCGGAAUUAUUGGGCGUAAAGCGCGCGUAGGCGGUUUUUUAAGUCUGAUGUGAAAGCCCACGGCUCAACCGUGGAGGGUCAUUGGAAACUGGAAAACUUGAGUGCAGAAGAGGAAAGUGGAAUUCCAUGUGUAGCGGUGAAAUGCGCAGAGAUAUGGAGGAACACCAGUGGCGAAGGCGACUUUCUGGUCUGUAACUGACGCUGAUGUGCGAAAGCGUGGGGAUCAAACAGGAUUAGAUACCCUGGUAGUCCACGCCGUAAACGAUGAGUGCUAAGUGUUAGGGGGUUUCCGCCCCUUAGUGCUGCAGCUAACGCAUUAAGCACUCCGCCUGGGGAGUACGACCGCAAGGUUGAAACUCAAAGGAAUUGACGGGGACCCGCACAAGCGGUGGAGCAUGUGGUUUAAUUCGAAGCAACGCGAAGAACCUUACCAAAUCUUGACAUCCUUUGACAACUCUAGAGAUAGAGCCUUCCCCUUCGGGGGACAAAGUGACAGGUGGUGCAUGGUUGUCGUCAGCUCGUGUCGUGAGAUGUUGGGUUAAGUCCCGCAACGAGCGCAACCCUUAAGCUUAGUUGCCAUCAUUAAGUUGGGCACUCUAAGUUGACUGCCGGUGACAAACCGGAGGAAGGUGGGGAUGACGUCAAAUCAUCAUGCCCCUUAUGAUUUGGGCUACACACGUGCUACAAUGGACAAUACAAAGGGCAGCGAAACCGCGAGGUCAAGCAAAUCCCAUAAAGUUGUUCUCAGUUCGGAUUGUAGUCUGCAACUCGACUACAUGAAGCUGGAAUCGCUAGUAAUCGUAGAUCAGCAUGCUACGGUGAAUACGUUCCCGGGUCUUGUACACACCGCCCGUCACACCACGAGAGUUUGUAACACCCGAAGCCGGUGGAGUAACCUUUUAGGAGCUAGCCGUCGAAGGUGGGACAAAUGAUUGGGGUGAAGUCGUAACAAGGUAGCCGUAUCGGAAGGUGCGGCUGGAUCACCUCCUUU